GACGAACGCUGGCGGCGCGCUUAACACAUGCAAGUCGAACGGGGUACCCUUGACGGCGGCUUCGGCCAACGGAUAGGAAUACCUAGUGGCGGACGGGUGCGUAACACGUGAGUAACCUGCUCUUGGGAGGGGGAUAACAUACCGAAAGGUAUGCUAAUACCGCAUAACAUAUUUUUUCCGCAUGGAGAGAAUAUCAAAGAUUUAUCGCCCAAGGAUGGACUCGCGGCCGAUUAGCUAGUUGGUGAGGUAACGGCUCACCAAGGCGACGAUCGGUAGCCGGACUGAGAGGUUGACCGGCCACAUUGGGACUGAGACACGGCCCAGACUCCUACGGGAGGCAGCAGUGGGGAAUAUUGCGCAAUGGGGGAAACCCUGACGCAGCGACGCCGCGUGAAGGAAGAAGGUUUUCGGAUCGUAAACUUUUGUCUUUGGGGACGAGAACGGACGGUACCCAAGGAGGAAGCCACGGCUAACUACGUG
rnacentral:rRNA from 1 species